rnacentral:rRNA from 1 species
CCUACGGGUGGCAGCAGUGGGGAAUAUUGCACAAUGGGGGAAACCCUGAUGCAGCGACGCCGCGUGAGUGAAGAAGUAUCUCGGUACGUAAAGCUCUAUCAGCAGGGAAGAUAAUGACGGUACCUGACCAAGAAUCCCCGGCUAACCACGUGCCAGCAGCCGCGGUAAUACGUAGGGGGCAAGCGUUAUCCGGAUUUACUGGGUGUAAAGGGAGCGUAGACGGCAGGACAAGUCUGGAGUGAAAUCCCGGGGCUUAACCCCGGAACUGCUUUGGAAACGGUGCGGCUGGAGUGCAGGAGGGGUAAGCGGAAUUCCUAGUGUAGCGGUGAAAUGCGUAGAUAUUAGGAGGAACACCGAUUGCGAAGGCAGCUUACCAAGCUACUUCUGACGUUGAGGCACGAAAGCGUGGGGAGCAAACAGGAUUAGAUACCCGAGUAGUC